CUCCUUUUGAGAGAGCAUAUACAAAAGGUAGGCCCUGCCCGGUGAUAAAUUUAACGGCUGCAAUGAAUAGUUGUGCUAAGGUAGCGCAAUCACUAGCCCCUUAAUUAGGGGCAGGAAUGAAUGGGUUGACGUGAAAUUAGCUGUCUCCUACUAAUAUAUAUAAUUUUACUUUUAGGUGAAAAGGCCUAGUUAGGCCCAAGGGACGAGAAGACCCUAUGAAAUUUUAUUCAGAUUAUAACUAGAGUAAUUGUGAUUGUGCAUGUUAUGAUUUUAAUUUAGCUGGGGCAGCAUGGGGCAUGGAGUGACUUCUAUUGGUUGUGUGUUUGAUCCAUUAUGUGAUGAGAGAUGGGAAUUACUCUAGGGAUAACAGAGCUAUUCACUCGGCGAGUACAAAUUGAUGAGUGAGAGAGCGACCUCGAUGUUGGACUAGGAUAUCCUUUAGGGGCAGAGGCUUAAAAGGGUUGGUCUGUUCGACCAUGAAAAUCUUACG
rnacentral:rRNA from 1 species